rnacentral:rRNA from 1 species
CAGUCGCCACGGUAAUACGAAGGGGGCUAGCGUUGUUCGGAAUCACUGGGCGUAAAGCGCACGUAGGCGGAUACUUAAGUCAGGGGUGAAAUCCCGGGGCUCAACCUCGGAACUGCCUUUGAUACUGGGUAUCUUGAGUCCGGGAGAGGUUGGUGGAACUCCGAGUGUAGAGGUGAAAUUCGUAGAUAUUCGGAAGAACACCAGUGGCGAAGGCGGCCAACUGGCCCGGUACUGACGCUGAGGUGCGAAAGCGUGGGGAGCAAACAGGAUUAGAUACCCCGGUAGUCCCUGUAUCUUAUAC